UUUGUUGGGGUGGAAGUGCAGUUUUUUUAAUCACAAAAUGUAAAUGUCAUCUUUGACCACCCCUAAAUAAUUCGCAAAUGUUAUGCAACAUGAUAUAGCCCUGAAAUGCACGGGAUUUUCUCUCUUGGGGAGGUUGAUUAGAGUAGUUAAUGGCAGAAGAUUUGGUGCCUCUUAAAUAAACAAAGCUGUCUUUAAAUAUAUUUUUCAUUAGGAUGGAUGAAUGAAAUGGACGACACACGAAAGGAACUUGGUUUCAUAAACAGGACAGAAAGAGACGAGAUGUGUGAAGGAACGUACAACAUCUGUCUCCUCAACCCAUACAAGAAAUCGUUUCCGCUCGCGCAGUUUCCCGGUCCCACCAACAAGCUGAGCAUAUUUUGAAGAACUUGCGGCAGGAAGAGGAGACAGCAGCCACCCCCUGGACUUGACUAAAGACAACUCUCCUUUGGCUCUGAGACCUGACCACAUGGUUGAUGCACAGAUACUUUGCCUGUCAUUCCAAAGCCUUCAGAUGGAAAAUUCUGCCUUUAAAUUCAAAAUCAUAUCAACUAUGGCCUGGAAAUUUCCGUGGGGACGUUUCUUCAAUCACAGGGGAAGCAGCAUCAGGAAUACUCCUUUGACACAGCUUAUUAUGUAUUCAAACCUCAGAAUUAGGGGUUGCUAAGCCUCCAGUAUUGUUCUGAAGACCCCAGGGAUUGAAGGUUAAUCUCCUGGAUACUGCUGCAAGCAAGUCAGGCAAAAAGCAAACAAGCAUCAGGUGUUCAACUCCAGUUUUCUUCAAACACUUACACCUAAACAAUGCUAGAAAUGUUGGAGAUGGAGGAGUGAGAACAGUUUAGACUGAGAGACAAGUGUCAUCCAAUUGGAUAAUGAAGAGGCCGUUUGCUUUCUGAGUGGCUGUGGGAAGGUAGGUCUCUGUGAGAAUGAAUGAAUGGCCAAUGGUGGCAGUGUUGGGUCGGGCAGUUGUAAGCUGGAGCUCAUCUGACAAACAUUUCAGAAAUGCAUCAUGGGUUGGCAUCUAGCACUGUUAUCAGCCCAAUCAGAUCAAACCUGCCCUAAUUAUGGUUGCCACCAAACAAAGAUCUGCUUUUACAUCAUGCCCAAAUCAAAUUAAAUGUGGAUAAAUUGUCAAAAGGGACAGAAUCUGGAAGCACCUCUUUGUACUAAACUACAAAGUUUGCUGUUGAUUUUCUGGUCUUCCAGUGCAAAGAUUUGUUCCUGACCAAGUGUUUCAGACUAGUAUAGUCACGUCUCGAGGACUAGUAGCUGUAGGAUACAAUAAAGACACAAUGGGGAAAGACCUGCUGGAACACAUGCAAAACCCCCUGGGCUAUGUGUCUGGCAUUAACUGAAUGUCCCACAUAUUCCAAUGGCCAGAUAAUCAUUGGUGCUGCAUAGGCAAGGCAUGCAUUGGGACCAUGUGGAAUCCCAGGUGCAGCUGACUGUGUGGAAAUUGAAAAUUCUGAUGGAUAAUUCCUUUGCAUUUAGAACCCUCCAUUCAUUGAAGUCUAAGAACUCACUUAACCUUAUGGGUUAUCUUGGAAAAAAUCUGAGAGCUUAAAAACCUCUUCCAAGUGUUCAAGGGUAAUGGCAUCCAAAGAACUGGGUCAAGAGAUGCCUACAGGGACAGCAUCAGAAAUACUCUACACGCCCUGACACACUACCCUGCAUCAGAAACACAUCGGAACUCACUACGAGACUUCUACGACCACUGGGCAGCAGAGUGGCACACAAGCCCAUAUCAACCCUACAACAACUGCUCACCCGAACUAAAGACCCACUCCCCGCCAUGGACAGGACCAAUGUCAUCUACAAGAUCCCCUGCAGAGACUGUGAGAAACGCUACAUCGAACAAACAAGAAGGAAACUAACCACAAGAGUACACGAACACCAACUGGCCACAAAAAGGCACGACCAAUACUCACUCAUCUCAAUCCACACGGACAAGGAGAACCAUGACUUUGACUGGGACAACACCAUGAUCCCGAGACAGGCUAGGCAGAGACAGGCACGAGAAUUCCUUGAAGCAUGGCACUCCACGAAGCAGGCUAUUAAUAAUACAUUGAACUCGACCCCAUAUACAUUCCACUAUAGAGGAAUCCGGGAAGUGAGGCAAUCCAUCACAACGGACCCCAGAGUUUAAAAACCAGGUGGGGAAACACACGACGCUUCGUCAGAGGCUGCACUGAGGACGUUACCAAGCACAGUAAUGAAACGUCUGCGGAACAACAAACCAGCUCAGUGAGCCAACCAACUUCAACACCCACAACCCAAGCUACAAAUCUGCUCCAAAACCUUAGUUUAAAAACCUACUCCAACUCAGGGGCAGCUAUUAAAUUGAAACACCCAACUCAGUACUCCUACUUCAACCCCACAGCCAUCCAAUUCAACUCAUCCCCCACCCUCCCCAACGCAGACAAACCCCUUGCAGGUUCAACAGCAGACCCUUCCUCGUCCUAAUCCCCAACCUGACCCGACAUUACCUUCCUCCCAGAUCUGACCCAACUCUAAGUCCUACCAUGACCUACCCUAAACACUCAUCCACUUGUCUGGCACCCUAACAUCAGCCCCAUCCUACCACAUCACUUACCCUUUCACAAUAGCUGUUCAGGUGUCUGCUGGACAGUGAAACUACAGUAUAUGCCACUCAGUGCUGCAACAGAGGGAACAGUUUCUACAAACAUCUUCACUAUGGAUUCCUGAAAAGGUUUAAAACAGAGGACUACAAUCCAGGACUCUCAAGUGCAGUAUACAUAUGAAGGGGAGUGGAUUCUCUUUAGGAUUGGAAAUAUUAUAAGCAUAUCUUACACUCUAAGUGUAGGGGAGCACCUCUGAGUGGUAUGUG